rfam:Pseudomonas syringae strain GAW0119 contig16.1, whole genome shotgun sequence.
GGCACACAACCUGCUGUGGUCUUUCCACAGGUAGCCAACGGCGGUUGCCCCACCACGACAAAGACGUCGC